AUCUUAAACUACUUGAUAUCUUUUAUAGUUGAGCAGUGGUUUAGACUCAACGAUGUUUCCAUAACAAUUGGAGAAUUUGGAUUUUUCUUCAUAAAAGGUGUUAAAAUUUGCUGGAAUGUGAAUGAUCCAGGUUUGACUAUUGAAGAAGCAAGGCUCAAGGCAAUUGAAUGGGACAUUGAAAAACUCAGGGAUGUCACAGUGUUAUUUGAUAUACACAGAGUGCGAAGAGAGCUUACAAAUCUUAAGGUUG